AGAGGGGUGCAAGCGUUAAUCGGAAUUACUGGGCGUAAAGGGCGCGUAGGCGGAUAUUUAAGUUAGAUGUGAAAUCCCUGGGGCUUAACCUAGGAACUGCAUUUAAAACUGGGUAUCUAGAGUAUUGUAGAGGGUAGUGGAAUUUCCGGUGUAGCGGUGAAAUGCGUAGAGAUCGGAAGGAACACCAGUGGCGAAGGCGGCUACCUGGACAAAUACUGACGCUGAGGCGCGAAAGCGUGGGGAGCAAACAGGAUUAGAUACCCUGGUAGUCCACGCUGUAAACGAUGAGAACUAGAUGUUGGCCAGCUUGACUGGUUAGUGUCGCAGCUAACGCGAUAAGUUCUCCGCCUGGGAAGUACGGCCGCAAGGCUA
rnacentral:rRNA from 1 species